CCAGACAGUGCUUCAAGCGGUGGUUUUCAAAGUGUCGUUUGGGACCCCUGGAGGUUCAUCGGGCCAAGUUAUUUUAAGACAUCUGUUUCUACAGAUGACACCGGGAAGCUUCCGGACAUCCUCAUUCCAGAGAUGCUGAAACGAGGGGAAGACGUGAAUACAGUGAACACAGUUCUCAAUAAGAAAACUGGACUUUGCAUUAGGGGUUGUAAAUAUCUUUCUCAGGCUGGUACUUUUAUUUUGACUAAUAUUUUUUAUCAUCAAGAACGUUUACAUGUUCCUGUGGUCAAAUGUAUCAUUUUUUAAAUGGAUGGAGUAUGAAUUUUGUGUCUGGAGCUUGCCACAAAAAUAUUAUAGAAAAAAAGCCCAUACUUCCCAAGGAACAGUUUUGGGUUUUUUUUUGUCUUUUUUACUUUUAAAUUUGUGAUCUAGGGUAUAGGACAUAGGGUAUGUGUGUAUGUUGUGUGUUCAGUAGAAUGUCUGAGGUAGAAUUUCAGCUUUUUCUCAAACUACCCAGGUUUUCCACUAUCAUCAUAUACUACUAAAUUUUCA